GUUUGAAUACAUGUGUUUUCUGACUUUUCGGAUAGCCAACUCUUUUGAUUUUUGGAACUUACGACUUAUGGCAAGAGAGAAGAAAACUUCGUGACUUUAAAAGAAAACCAGUGAGAUAAAAUCAUAGAAAAUGUAUGAUGAUUCGGGAUGUGAUCAUUUGUGACAUUAAAACAGGAAUUGUCAUCACCAAUAGACGAAUUUCACAUUCCUAAGAGUUUUCUCCAAUUGUCGGCGUAUCGCUCAUUUUUCCCACUUUGUCCUUUAUCAUAGGUGAUGUGAAGAAAACCAGGAAACUGAUGUUGAAAGAAGUACUUAAUGACCCUUAUGAAUGGACUUAAAUGUGAAAGACUGUUCCAUUGUUUAUCUAAGAUAUAUGAAUUUAUUUAGUAUUUUGAUAUCAUUGAAAAAUACA